UGAACCCGGGAGGCGGAGGUUGCAGUGAGCGGAGAUCGCGCCACAGCACUCCAGCCUGGGCGAAGAGCGAGACUCCGUCUCAAAAAAAAAAAAAUUAUUAAUUAUUUAUUUUAUUUUGAGAUGGACUCUCACUCUGACACCCAGGUUGGAGUGCAAUGGCGUGAUCUCGGCUCACUGCAACCUCCACCUCCUGGGUUCG
rnacentral:pre_miRNA from 1 species